UACGGAGGGUGCGAGCGUUGUCCGGAAUCACUGGGCGUAAAGGGCGCGUAGGCGGCCUGAUAAGUAGGGGGUGAAAUCCUGCGGCUUAACCGCAGGGCUGCCUUCUAAACUGUCGGGCUCGAGCACAGUAGAGGCAGGUGGAAUUCCCGGUGUAGCGGUGGAAUGCGUAGAGAUCGGGAAGAACAUCAGUGGCGAAGGCGGCCUGCUGGGCUGUUGCUGACGCUGAGGCGCGACAGCGUGGGGAGCAAUCCGG
rnacentral:rRNA from 1 species